rnacentral:rRNA from 1 species
CCUACGGGAGGCAGCAGUGAGGAAUAUUGGUCAAUGGGCGCGAGCCUGAACCAGCCAAGUCGCGUGAGGGAAGACGGUCCUAUGGAUUGUAAACUUCUUUUGUCGGGGAGUAAAAGACGCCACGCGUGGCGUUCCGCGUGUACCCGAAGAAAAAGGAUCGGCUAACUCCGUGCCAGCAGCCGCGGUAAUACGGAGGAUGCGAGCGUUAUCCGGAUUUAUUGGGUUUUAAGGGUGCGCAGGCGGAUGAUCAAGUCAGUUGUGAAAGUUUGCGGCUCAACCGUAAAAUUGCAGUUGAUACUGGACGCCUUGAGUACACAACAGGCAGGCGGAAUUCGUGGUGUAGCGGUGAAAUGCAUAGAUAUCACGAGGAACCCCGAUGGCGAAGGCAGCCUGCCGGGGUGCGACUGACGCUGAGGCUCGAAGGUGCGGGUAUCAAACAGGAUUAGAUACCCGAGUAGUC